AAAAAAAUGAUUUGAUUUUGUAGGAUCAGUUUGAUCUACAAGGCAAUCCGAGUGAUGUAGCAAGGACUUUAAACACACAGUUUGGUCGGCGAUUGAGUAGCUUCACCUAUAGGUUGCACAAACAAUACAAGCAACUUAAGGAUGCAAGAGGGGAGGAGUACGCGAGAAGCCACCCACCUACAAGUGUUACUCUUAAUCAAUGGACAUCUCUAAUUGACAAGAAGUGGAAUAGUAAAGAAUUCAUGGAUGCAAAUGAAAACAAAACAUAGAUGUGGAUCAAAAUCAAUCCCGGUUAGGGUGCACAGCUCGAUAAUUGCAAAUGGAGAAGUUCCUGAUUUGGCAAAGUUUUACAAGUCCAUCCACUAUAAUUCGAACACACAUGAAUGGAUUUCGUCGGAGAGCCAAGCUAAUUAUGACAACAUGAUAAAGACGCAAGCCGAACACCUCUCGCAGACUGGUGUGAUCCCUUUAAGCCAAGAGGAGUUGUCAGUUAAGGUACUUAAGCCAAGGUCAGGUUAUGUGAAAGGACUCGGCUUGAGGCCUUCUUCUUCUAUGAAGACUACUGUUG